rnacentral:tRNA from 1 species
GGGGAUAUAGCUCAGUUGGUAGAGCAUCUGCUUUGCAAGCAGGAGGUCAGCGGUUCGAAUCCGCUUAUCUCCACCA